UUUUGUCUGUUCACUGGGGAAUUACUCAGUAGCUGUGCUAUUGAUGUGGCCUUGGGAGUGGUGGGAAGGGAUUGCAUGUGAUAACCAUAACGAAGUGAAAAGCAUUAAUUAGUGUAAUUAUUUGGUGGAGCAGAACUCUUUUGUCAGAACAAGCUGAGUUCAUUGGGAAGAUAACCCUGUUUGCAUUGUUUUGCUUUUAUUUGUAGGAUCAGAGACAGGCACUGGGCACUGAGAACAUCCCCAGUGCUGUGAGGCCAACUUCCCCCACUGUGAUGUCAAUGGGGAAAUAAGAGAAAACAGGCAAUGGUGUUGCCAUAGUGACUCUGAGAUUUCUUCACUUGUGCAGAGAAGCAUGGAUGACCUCGCAUGCGUUGCAUGGGGCAUUUGGAGACCACUUCUGUGCUGAACUGUAGGACACAGGACCCACAAAGAUGCACUGCCCUUGCACAUGGGCCUCAUGAUGUAGAAGAAUGAAUCGCUGAGCUUCUUCAUGAGCAAGCAAAUACAACCAGUCCCUGCCCUGGCCCAUGGCUGAACUCAAAUACUCUCACAUUUCCCCACAAAACCCCCUGUGAUCUCAACAGCUGGCAGCUAUCUGACACCAGGUCCCAGCAUCACAGGCUGCACAGUGCCCUCAGGAAUGCCCACCGCAUAUCUCCUCUGCUUUCCCUCUUCCUCCUGCUAUUACCAAUAAUUAUGGCUGAGGGUGUGACAAGGCCAUCAUUGUCCCAGCUCUCCAAGGACAACACGAGGGAAAUGCUGUACAAACUCACCAGAGGUAACCAGUCAGAACAGGAGAGAACCAUCGUUUAUUUCAGCUAAGGCAGCUUUUUGACAGACCAACCUGCUCUGUAGAUAAUGAGCCUUUCCAGUCGUCCAUGAUUUAUUGUGAAAACAAAAUGCUGGAUAACAUACUGGAGAAGCUCAGAAGGAAGACUUGCAGAGUGUUUGUAUUUCCAAGGUAUACAAGGGAACCUGAGGCCAAUGAGGUUAAAUAAAUGCUCAGAGUCAGCGGGGCAUUGGGCAAAAGAGGAAACCCAAGCCCUGCACGCCCCUAUAUAGAGCAAUAGCAGCAAGUGCUGUCGGAUGGAUAACCUGGGUUAGACUGAUUUCUAAAGGACCUUUUCAACAAAAGUCUUCUGUCAGGAAACAAAUGUCAGGCACCCCCCCCCGCUAGCUUCCUAAGCUUUCACACUGCCAGAGAGAAAUUGUUCUCUUUGACAAAGAUUUCAAAUCCAUUCAGGCUGAAUCUGCUUUCCCUUCUGGAUUUCAGUUAUUAAGCAUUAUUUUUUUUUAUCUCUGGUGCAUCCAACCACCAUAUGUUCUUAAAUAAAGCCACUUUCCACUUCUUCCCUUUGUGCUUUGAGGCAAGUAGAAUUGCUGGAAAUGUAGACACGCAGAAGGGUGCCCCUCCUUUGGGAAAUGCAGGAUUUCUAGGUAAAUCUUCAGCACAGAGUACCUCUCAUGCAGUUCUUGAAGUGCAUGAUGUACUGUGGAGUGUCUUUAUAUACCAUUUACUUGCAAGCGUGUAAUGAAAUAUCCUUUCUUUGUCCCAGCCUGGUUCCAAUUGUGUCACAAAGACAUAAAAGUAUUCUGAUAAUACACCCAUCUCUUAUCUGGCACAAUAGCAAGGUUUUAAUUUUGAAUGGGAUGACUAAAGGUGCUUCAUUAGCCAAAAGGAAGAGCUGUUAUAUGUCCUGGAGAAGCUGAAAUGGAAUGGAAUACUCCUACAGCAUGAAAUAAGCAUUUAUAAAUCUAUCAUAA